rnacentral:tRNA from 1 species
GCACGUGUGGCGGAAUUGGCAGACGCACUAGACUUAGGAUCUAGCGCCUUACGGCGUGGGGGUUCGACUCCCUUCACGUGCACCA